GUGCCAGCCGCCGCGGUAAUACGGAGGGUGCAAGCGUUGUCCGGAAUCACUGGGCGUAAAGGGUGCGCAGGCGGGGCAGCAAGUCGGAGGUGAAAGCCCGUGGCUCAACCACGGAAGUGCCUUCGAAACUGUUGCUCUUGAGUCCCGGAGAGGUUGCCGGAAUUCGUGGUGUAGCGGUGAAAUGCGUAGAUAUCACGAGGAACACCAGAGGCGAAAGCGGACAGCUGGACGGGUACUGACACUCAGGCACGAAAGCGUGGGGAGCAAACAGGAUUAGAAACCCCUGUAGUCC
rnacentral:rRNA from 1 species